CAUAUCACUAAGCGGAGAAAAAGANAAUAACNAUGAUUCCUAGAGUAACGGCGAGUGAAAUAGGAAAAGCCCAUAGCCGAAUUCCGCUGUUCUCGACGGCAGCUGGAAGUUGUGGCGUUUGGAACUGCCUGUAUGUAACCGAUUGGCCGGGCUACGCGACUCCUCUUGAUUGUGGUUUGCCCAUAGCAGGUGAAAGGCCUAUUGGUCGUAGCCUCGUGCAGAAGGCCAGCGGUGAAGGUAGUCCUUAGAGUCGGGUUGUUUGGGAUUGCAGCCCGAAGCAGGUGGUAAACUCCACCUAAGGCUAAAUACGAUCGCGAGUCCGAUAGAGCACAAGUACCGUGAGGGACAGUUGAAAAGAACUUUGAAGAGAGAGUUCAAAGUACGUGAAACCGUUCAGAGGUAAACGGGUAGAAAGUCGAAUUAAAAGUUGACAAUCAAGUUGAUGCUUGCCGAUGUAGGUUUGCGGUACGUUAAAGACUGUUUGCUUACAUAUCGGUACGCGUUGGCUGUAUUUGUUGGCUUUACAUCGCCGCGACGGCAGUGACACCGACCGGCUGGCGUACGCUCCUCUGGGUCGAUGUAGAUUCGUUUGAAUCUUUCAACGUCGGCACAUGGGUGUGCGUCCCGCGUACAUGGCACAGUCGUGGUUUAUAAUUGACAACUCAUGCGUUCCACUGGUCACCGUUCGUCUUGUAUUGGCAUGUUGAUGUUAAACAACUUCAACGGCUGACAUCAGGGCGGCGGCGGCUGGGUUAACGACGGAACAAGGGUUGUUUGUGAGCGGCGUUUGACAACGAGAUGUCUACCUGACCCGUCUUGAAACACGGACCAAGGAGUCUAACCUGUGCGCGAGCCAUUGGGAUAUUGUGAAUGAAAAACCCAAAGGCAAAGUGAAAGCAAUGUAAUGGUGAGAUCUGUCGUUUAUUUGUUAAGAAUAACACGGCGGCGCAUCAUCGUCACGCCUUGUCUCGGCUUCGGCUGUAAAGGCGCAGACAGAGCGCACAAGUUGGGACCCGAAAGAUGGUGAACUAUGCGAGGCGAGGUCGAAGCCAGAGGAAACUCUGGUGGAGGACUGUAGCGGUUCUAACGUGCAAAUUGAUCGUCGCAGCUUCGUAUAGGGGCGAAAGACUAAUCGAACCAUCUAGUAGCUGGUUCCCUCCGAAGUUUCCCUCAGGAUAGCUGGCACUUUCGGAGAGCAGUUUUGUCCGGUAAAGCGAAUGACUAGAGGCCUUGGGGACAUAACGACCUCAACCUAUUCUCAAACUUUGAAUGGGCAAGAAGAGUGACUCACUUAAUUGGAGUCUACUUUCAUAAGAAUGCUUGAGUGCCAAGUGGGCCAUUUUUGGUAAGCAGAACUGGCGCUGUGGGAUGAACCAAACGUUUAGCUAAGGCGCCAAAUGCUAACGCUCAUCUGAACCCAUUAAAGGUGUUGGUUGAUAGAGACAGCAGGACGGUGGCCAUGGAAGUCGGAACCCGCCAAGGAGUGUGUAACAACUCACCUGCCGAAUCAACCAGUCCUGAAAAUGGAUGGCGCUGAAGCGUUGUGAGCCUAUGCUAAACCGACAUUGCAUCAAUUGUGAUAAACAAGCAAUGUCGAGUAGGAGGGUCGCUGUGGUACGCGUUGAAGCUUCGGGCGAGGGCCCAAGUCGAGCUGCCACAGGUGCAGAUCUUGGUGGUAGUAGCAAAUAUUCAAAUGAGAACUUUGAAGGCCGAAGUGGAGAAGGGUUCCAUGUGAACAGCAUUUGAACAUGGGUCAGUCGGUCCUAAGCGAUAGGCAAAUGCCGUUCUGAAAGCAGGCUUUUUAUUAAUUUUUAAAAAUAAAUAAAUAAUGCCUGAUUUUGGUCGAAAGGGAAUCGGGUUAAUAUUCCCGAACCUGGACGCGGAGAUGGGAUCGUAGUGUAACAGCUGCGAUUCAGUGCGGUAACGCAAACGAUCUCGGAUUCGUUGGCAGGAGUCCCGGGAAGAGUUCUCUCUUCUUUGUAAGGGGCCGACUCCCUGGAAUCGGCUUAGCCGGAGAUAGGGAUAUUGCAAAGCGCCCGUAAAGCACCACACUUCUUGUGGUGUCCGGUGCACGACUGUCGACACUUAAAAGUCCGAGUUAGACGUUCAUAAUGUUCGCGCCAGGCCGUACCCAUAUCCGCAGCAGGUCUCCAAGGUGAACAGCCUCUGGCCUUAGACUGAUGUAGUCAAGGGAAGUCGGCAAAUUGGAUCCGUAACUUCGGAACAAGGAUUGGCUCUAUGGGUUGGGCUGAACGGGCUGUGCUAGGAAGCGAUGCCUUGCUACUGAUGCUUUGGGUCUGACUGGCAACGGUUGGGCCUGGCGUCGGUUGGCGGCGCGUGGAUCUGGCAUGGCUUCUGUCGGUGCUCCUCGUGGGUGCCGGCAUCGUUCAGCAAAAAGCAACCACCAUAGAACUGGUACGGACCAGGGGAA
rnacentral:rRNA from 1 species